rnacentral:rRNA from 1 species
AUACGGAGGAUCCGAGCGUUAUCCGGAUUUAUUGGGUUUAAAGGGUGCGCAGGCGGCCAUUUAAGUCAGCGGUUAAAUCGUGGGGCUCAACCCCACUCUGCCGUUGAUACUGGGUGGCUUGAUUGCGGUCGAGGUUGGCGGACUUCGUUGUGUAGCGGUGAAAUGCAUAGAUAUGACGAAGAACACCGAUUGCGUAGGCAGCUGACCAGGCCGCAAAUGACGCUCAUGCACGAAAGUGCGGGGAUCGAACAGGAUUAGAUACCCUGGUAGUCCGCACAGUAAACGAUGAAUACUUGUUUUCGGCGAUAUAAUGUCGGAGGCAAAGCGAAAGCGAUAAGUAUUCCACCUGGGGAGCACGCCGGCAACGGUGAAACUCAAAUGAAUUGGCGGGG